AUUGAACGCUGGCGGCAGGCCUAACACAUGCAAGUCGAACGGUAACAGGAAGAAGCUUGCUUCUUUGCUGACGAGUGGCGGACGGGUGAGUAAUGUCUGGGAAACUGCCUGAUGGAGGGGGAUAACUACUGGAAACGGUAGCUAAUACCGCAUAACGUCGCAAGACCAAAGAGGGGGACCUUCGGGCCUCUUGCCAUCGGAUGUGCCCAGAUGGGAUUAGCUAGUAGGUGGGGUAACGGCUCACCUAGGCGACGAUCCCUAGCUGGUCUGAGAGGAUGACCAGCCACACUGGAACUGAGACACGGUCCAGACUCCUACGGGAGGCAGCAGUGGGGAAUAUUGCACAAUGGGCGCAAGCCUGACGCAGCCAUGCCGCGUGUAUGAAGAAGGCCUUCGGGUUGUAAAGUACUUUCAGCGGGGAGGAAGGGAGUAAAGUUAAUACCUUUGCUCAUUGACGUUACCCGCAGAAGAAGCACCGGCUAACUCCGU
rnacentral:rRNA from 1 species